UACGUAGGCAGCGAGCGUUGUUCGGAAUUACUGGGCGUAAAGAGUGUGUAGGCGGUGCUCUAAGUUCGGUGUGAAAUCUCCUGGCUCAACUGGGAGGGUGCGCCGGAAACUGGAGUGCUUGAGCGUGGGAGAGGAAAGCGGAAUUCCUGGUGUAGCGGUGAAAUGCGUAGAUAUCGUAAGGAAGACCAGUGGCGAAGGCGGGUCUCUGGACAGUUCCUGACGCUGAGGCACGAAGGUCAGGGGAGCAAACGGG
rnacentral:rRNA from 1 species